UCAAAAGCAUUGACCCAAUGUAAACUUAGGGGUUAAGUUUAAAUUCCAACUGGUAGGAUACCAAUGCAUGUCAUAAGACUAACACUAUUGUUUUCUGCUCUCUAUAGGACAGUCGGGAAGACGACCUUCAGGUUGAUUUGGAGCAGGUGACCAUGGCGGUAUUUUCCAUUCGACAAGAAGGAUGUGUCGAACUUCCUCCGGAGGACAUUGGUAUCGUUAUCGAAGGCGUAACAGUCUUAAAUGGACUCAGCUCUGUCCCAUCUGCUUGUGCCCUGCUGCUCGGCUUGAUCUACAUUCUCAAUCUUGCCUACCCUAAAAGCCUCCGUUACACUUUCGAGGUUUUCCAGAAAGUUUUUAUGGAGCUAGAUUCUCAGAAAAUGUCCCCAAAAGUUCAUACACUAUUAGGAAAACUGCAAAGUGCAGAUUAAUGGUCAUCUUAAGCCUAUGUACAUAUUUUUGCAUUCAGUGUUAAAAAAUUUUUAUAAAGCUGAAAGUGUUUAAGAAGUUUGAAAAAAGAAGCACUUUGUAAUCCUCCAGAACGUAACAGGACAGAAGUCUCCUGUUUUUUUUUUUUCUCUUCUUUAGAUUGGAUCGUUUAUUGCUGGCACAGGGCAAUCUGAACUGAACUGCAACUCUUGCAUGUGAUUAUAGUCAUGGAGGCUGUACAACUGUAAUGUUCUGUUGUGAGAUAAUUUGACGUUACUGUUACAAAUAAACAAUUUGCAG